CAGCUGCUGCAAAUUCCGGGGUGCACAGCCACGCGCUGUGGUCUGCUGGCAGUGCGGCGGAGGAACCCCGCCUCUUCGUUGCUCGCUCAGGAGACCUCAUACAUAUGCAAAUAUAGAGAGGAAUUGGACCCGCCCCCUCGUGCGUCUUUUGGUACUUGUCGGCUCUUCCUUACCCCAGAUCCCAGGAUCUUAUUUAACCCAGGCUGGUCUGGAACACUGGUCUGAAAUAACCAAGGAUUAUUUAGACUCCUGGUUCUCCUGCUUCGACUCCUGAAUACUGGGAUUGCAGGUGUGCACCAUCAUAUCCAGCUCCAGGGCUGCCUUCCUCUGCUGAAAUUACAUGUGUGCAUGACUAUGUCUGAUUGUAAUUUUAAUUUUACACCACGUAUCAUGGAAGUAAUUCUAGCAUUUUAAACUGCAAAAUGACAUAAUUAAAUUCAAUGAAUGUA